CACGUAGUUAGCCGGGGCUUCUUAGUCAGGUACCGUCUUUUUCGUCCCUACUGAUAGAGCUUUACAUACCGAAAUACUUCCUCGCUCACGCGGCGUCGCUGCAUCAGGGUUUCCCCCAUUGUGCAAUAUUCCCCACUGCUGCCUCCCGUAGGAGUUUGGGCCGUGUCUCAGUCCCAAUGUGGCCGGUCGCCCUCUCAGGCCGGCUACUGAUCGUUGCCUUGGUGGGCUUUUACCCCUCCAACUAGCUAAUCAGACGCGGACUCAUCCUGCACCGAAUUUCUUUUCCUACUCCCUCAUGCGAGGCUGUAGGCUUAUGCGGUAUUAGCAGCCAUUUCUAGCUGUUGUCCCCCUGUGCAGGGCAGAUUAUCCACGUAUUACUCACCCGUCCGCCACUCAGCAGGAAGGUGCAAGCACCCUCCUGCUUCGUUCGACUUGCAUGUGUUAAGCACGCCGCCAGCGUUCAUCCUGAGCCAGGAUCAAACUCU
rnacentral:rRNA from 1 species